rnacentral:rRNA from 1 species
GACGAACCGUGCGAACGUUAUUCGGAAUCACUGGGCUUAAAGCGCGUGUAGGCGGGCCGGCACGUCGGACGUUGAAAUCCCCCGGCUCAACCGGGGAAGGGGCGCCGAUACGACCGGCCUGGAGGAACGUAGGGGGAGCUGGAACUUCCGGUGGAGCGGUGAAAUGCGUUGAGAUCGGAAGGAACGCCCGUGGCGAAAGCGAGCUCCUGGACGUUUUCUGACGCUGAGACGCGAAAGCCAGGG